AAUGAUUACCCUGAACGGUGGAUCACU
rnacentral:rRNA from 1 species